rnacentral:lncRNA from 1 species
ACUUUUUUUAUUUAUGUUCUUAAUAAAUUGCUAGAAACACUUUAACACAAAUGCAUCAAACCACUUGCGCGUGUAUUACGGUUCAUUUUCUUUCUGUGCGAUAAACGGCGAAAGGCCUGCGUAAUACUGUUACAUCAAUGUGCGCUGGGUUUGAGCGGAUCAUGGAGGACUGGGAGAGUGAGAUCGUUCCCGGCCAGCCAGGUUACGUGCCGCGUGCUGCACCUAUCUUUAAAUCGACCAUUGGAAUGAGUCGCUCUGAGCGCCGCCGCCACUACGCCGAGCUUCUUAAGCAGCACCACCUGGCCAACAUGCUCCACAUCCAGAACCCACGCAAUGGAGAUGCUUGCAAGGUAAGCGCGCGUGUGACGGCCUAUACACAAUAUUUAUUUAUUUAUUUAUUUAUUUAUUUAUUUACACUGAAAUCUCAGGAAAGGAUUUUCGCAGGGUGGCCAUAUAGAUACAAGCACGGGUCAAAUAUUUACAAGAAAGCCAGAACAAAAGAAACAAAGGCCGCAAA